GCUUGCUUCUCUUGAGAGCGGCGGACGGGUGAGUAAUGCCUAGGAAUCUGCCUGGUAGUGGGGGAUAACGUUCGGAAACGGACGCUAAUACCGCAUACGUCCUACGGGAGAAAGCAGGGGACCUUCGGGCCUUGCGCUAUCAGAUGAGCCUAGGUCGGAUUAGCUAGUUGGUGAGGUAAUGGCUCACCAAGGCGACGAUCCGUAACUGGUCUGAGAGGAUGAUCAGUCACACUGGAACUGAGACACGGUCCAGACUCCUACGGGAGGCAGCAGUGGGGAAUAUUGGACAAUGGGCGAAAGCCUGAUCCAGCCAUGCCGCGUGUGUGAAGAAGGUCUUCGGAUUGUAAAGCACUUUAAGUUGGGAGGAAGGGCAGUUACCUAAUACGUGAUUGUUUUGACGUUACCGACAGAAUAAGCACCGGCUAACUCUGUGCCAGCAGCCGCGGUAAUACAGAGGGUGCAAGCGUUAAUCGGAAUUACUGGGCGUAAAGCGCGCGUAGGUGGUUUGUUAAGUUGGAUGUGAAAUCCCCGGGCUCAACCUGGGAACUGCAUUCAAAACUGACUGACUAGAGUAUGGUAGAGGGUGGUGGAAUUUCCUGU
rnacentral:rRNA from 1 species